UACGGGGGGAGCAAGCGUUGUUCGGAUUCACUGGGCGUAAAGGGUGCGUAGGCGGCUUUGCAAGUCUGAUGUGAAAUCUCCGGGCCCAACCCGGAAAUGGCAUUAGAAACUGCAGGGCUAGAGGCUUGGAGGGGGAACUGGAAUGCUCGGUGUAGCAGUGAAAUGCGUAGAGAUCGAGCGGAACACCAGUGGCGAAGGCGAGUUCCUGGACAAGACCUGACGCUGAGGCACGAAAGCCGGGGGAGCAAACAGG
rnacentral:rRNA from 1 species